rnacentral:rRNA from 1 species
UACGUAGGUGGCGAGCGUUGUCCGGAUUUACUGGGCGUAAAGGGAGCGUAGGCGGACUUUUAAGUGAGAUGUGAAAUACCCGGGCUCAACUUGGGUGCUGCAUUUCAAACUGGAAGUCUAGAGUGCAGGAGAGGAGAAUGGAAUUCCUGGUGUAGCGGUGAAAUGCGUAGAGAUUAGGAAGAACACCAGUGGCGAAGGCGAUUCUCUGGACUGUAACUGACGCUGAGGCUCGAAAGCGUGGGGAGCGAACAGGAUUAGAUACCCU